AAAUUUACAUUUGAAUAAUUAUCUUUAAAAAAAAGGUCAACUAUUAUAUAGUCAAAGCGAGAUAUUCACAGCAUUUAUUUAUUAUAAUAUGGGUGAUUAUGGCUUACAGCUUAUGAAAACC